UGGGGAAUCUUGGACAAUGGGGGCAACCCUGAUCCAGCCAUGCCGCGUGAGUGAUGAAGGCCUUAGGGUCGUAAAGCUCUUUCGCCUGUGAAGAUAAUGACGGUAGCAGGUAAAGAAACCCCGGCUAACUCCGUGCCAGCAGCCGCGGUAAUACGGAGGGGGUUAGCGUUGUUCGGAAUUACUGGGCGUAAAGCGCACGUAGGCGGACCAGAAAGUUGGGGGUGAAAUCCCGGGGGCUCAACCCCGGAACUGCCUCCAAAACUAUUGGUCUAGAGUUCGAGAGAGGUGAGUGGAAUUCCAAGUGUAGAGGUGAAAUUCGUAGAUAUUUGGAGGAACACCAGUGGCGAAGGCGGCUCACUGGCUCGAUACUGACGCUGAGGUGCGAAAGUGUGGGGAGCAAACAGGAUUAGAUACCCUGGUAGUCCCACACCGUAAAACGAUGAAUGCCAGUCGUCGGGUAGCAUGCUAUUCGGUGACACACCUAACGGAUUAAGCAUUCCGCCUGGGGA
rnacentral:rRNA from 1 species